rnacentral:sRNA from 1 species
GUUUUGCGUGAGGGAUAGGAACGGCAUCCUUGUGGUGGGGUUCACCACAAAAGAUAUAGUGGAUAGCCUCCCGAUAGCUA